rnacentral:rRNA from 1 species
GACGAACGCUGGCGGCGGGCUUAACACAUGCAAGUCGAACGGAAAGGCCCUGCUUUUGUGGGGUGCUCGAGUGGCGAACGGGUGAGUAACACGUGAGUAACCUGCCCUGGACGUGGGGAUAACUUCAGAAAACUGGGGCUAAUGCCGGAUAGGAGCGCCUGCUGCAUGGUGGGGGUUGGAAAGUUUGGGCGGUUGGGGAUGGACUCGCGGCUUAUCAGCUUGUGGGUGGGGGAGUGGCUUACCAAGGCUUUGACGGGUAGCCGGCAUGAGAGGGUGACCGGCGACAUUGGGACUGAGAUACGGCCCAGACUCGUACGGGAGGCAGCAGUGGGGAAUAUUGCACAAUGGGCGGAAGCGUGUGGCAGCAAUGCCGCGUGCGGGAUGACGGCCUUCGGGUUGUAAACCGCUUUCGCCUGUGACGAAGCGUGAGUGACGUUACUGGGUAAAGAAGCACCGGCUAACUACGUG